AUUGAACGCUGGCGGCAUGCUUUACACAUGCAAGUCGAACGGUAACAGGCCGCAAGGUGCUGACGAGUGGCGAACGGGUGAGUAAUGCAUCGGAACGUGCCCAGUCGUGGGGGAUAACGCAGCGAAAGCUGCGCUAAUACCGCAUACGAUCUGUGGAUGAAAGCGGGGGACCUUCGGGCCUCGCGCGAUUGGAGCGGCCGAUGUCAUGAGUAGGUAGUUGGUGGGGUAAAGGCUCACCAAGCCGACGACGUGUAGCUGGUCCGAGAGGACGGACAGCCACACUGGGACUGAGACGCGGCCCAGGCUCCUACGGGAGGCAGCAGUGGGGAAUUUUGGACAAUGGGGGCAACCCUGAUCCAGCAAUGCCGCGUGCAGGAAGAGGGCCUUCGGGUUGUAAACUGCUUUUGUACGGAACGAAAAGGCUCUGGUUAAUACCUGGGGCACAUGACGGUACCGUAAGAAUAAGCACCGGCUAACUACGUGCCAGCCGCCGCCGUAACAC
rnacentral:rRNA from 1 species